rnacentral:misc_RNA from 1 species
UCCUCUCUCAAACCCCGUGUUUGGUGUUGGACCGCGUUGGACCGCCUCCAUGGGCCAACUGGUCUCAAAGACAAUGACGGCGUCCCAGGGACCCUCUUCGCACUGAGUUCUCCGGAGCACGCGUAGAGUUUCAAGGGCCCAGGGACCCGGUCGCCUCUCGAAAGAGAAAACUUUUUUCA